rnacentral:lncRNA from 1 species
UGCUAGAUAGGGACCUCUCAAUGAGUUGUUAUAAGGAUUAUUCAACAUGCUAUGAGCGUGGCACUAAAUCAACCAAAGAGAUGUACUCUCUAGCAUGGGUUUUUGGUGUAGGAGAAAUCAAGGGAUGACCAUAUUUCUAUAUCGAAGCUAUCCCUUUGGGACACUGUGAGUCAAGGAAAUAUAAUUGCCCCAUCGCCAUCUUAAGUUGCAAUGACAUUUUCACAGAAUUUGGUUUAAAAAGAUUGAUAGGUAGUUGACAAGGUAACAGUCCAAAGAAAGACAUGUUACCCAAGUCUGCC